rnacentral:rRNA from 1 species
AGUGAACGCUGGCGGUAGGCCUAACACAUGCAAGUCGAACGGCAGCACAGUAAGAGCUUGCUCUUACGGGUGGCGAGUGGCGGACGGGUGAGGAAUACAUCGGAAUCUACUUUUUCGUGGGGGAUAACGUAGGGAAACUUACGCUAAUACAGCAUACGACCUACGUGUGAAAGCAGGGGAUCUUCGGACCUUGCGCGAUUGAAUGAGCCGAUGUCGGAUUAGCUAGUUGGCGGGGUAAAGGCCCACCAAGGCGACGAUCCGUAGCUGGUCUGAGAGGAUGAUCAGCCACACUGGAACUGAGACACGGUCCAGACUCCUACGGGAGGAAGCGGUGGGGAAUAUUGGACAAUGGGCGAAAGCCUGAUCCAGCCAUACCGCGGGGGUGAAGAAGGCCUUCGGGUUGUAAAGCCCUUUUGUUGGGAAAGAAGAGCAGCAGGUUAAUACCCCGCUGUUCUGACGGUACCCAAAGAAUAAGCACCGGCUAACUUCGUG